CAUGCUCAGUUUAAAAAAAGAGGUUUGAGGUUCUUUUUUUUAGAUUAAGGAAAUACCGCCUUUUUAAGGAUAUUGUAGCUUUUUGUGGAGGCCAAACAACUCAACAUUGGCCAAACCAUAUGUGACGUUCAAGGCCCAAAUAAUCCUCACACUUGACCCGUUGACCGAAAUAUGUGCCUCAACAUUGAUGACACACCCCAAGCUAUUUACAGUAUCUCACAUAUGAUUGCGCCAUUCUUGUCUUAGACAAACUUUGUUGAUAGCUCGGAGCACAUCCUUUGCAUCUGAUGCAAUCAUUAGGUUGAGGUCCUGUGCGAGCGCGAUGGCACGCUAUUGUCUCCCGUAUCGCGGGGUCAUCAACUCAUCCAAUUACAAGUCCUCAGCUGCCAAGAAAUAUUCCAGUCUAAUGGAAAACUGUAUUAUUCCUCUAAUACUCUCUUUGUUUUUAAAUAUAAGUUGUUUAAAAAAAAUUCAUUACAAAUUACAUAAGAAAUGUAAUGAAUGAAUCUAUAUCCUAAAAUAUGCAUAUGUACAUCCACAUGUAGUUUCUAAUGAAAUCUUAAGAAAAUUUAUAUUAAGUAAACAGUGGAAAUACUUUGCAGAGUUAUGAAACGGGGGCCAGUCUGCUAUAUUAUAGGGUGCGCCUGGAACUGAGGUGGCUGAGAAAUAGUAAGGUCUCAGUCACCUGACAUCAGACCACGUAUUAGACCUGUUUUCCCUGAGCCGGUCUGUUUUUUUUUCUUUGGUUUUUCAGUUGUGGCCUAGACGCCUAAUGCUCUAGCUUCCUUUCCUUUGUAUUUUUUUAUUCUUUUCUACUGGGUUUGUGUGACACAGCCACGCACGGGUCAGCCGUAAGCAGUUGAAUCUCAUGUCUAGAUAGAUGAAUAUACCAAUAUGUUUUUGAAUGUAUGUGUCUUUAAAAAGGAGGAAAGUUCAAAAAAAACGUAGUUAAUUCCUAAACACAACAUUAACAAAGAUUGAUUUGGUUUGAACUAUUGUAUUUAUUAAGAUGAGACAUAACAAAUACCAUACUUGCAUAGUUAAGAAAAACACAGAUAUUAUCAAAGAAAAAGGGAAAAGGCAAAACUACAUGCCUCUGUUAUGCCGCAUACUAUGUGUAAUGAAUAUAUUUUUUAGAAAACUCAUUUGGUGUGUUUGUUCAAUGAUUUUCUUUUAAAUAGUAGACAUGCAACCGUCCGACAAUCCCCCCUCUCCCACGAGUUGCAAUCGUGUUGGGGGCGUGUAGUUGCAGUCGGGUUACAAAGCUUGCAAAUGCAACUCUAGAGGUGGACAUAUAGCUGGUCGACAACCUAACCAAAAAUGUACAGUUGCGACCCCGAUUGGGAAACAUGCCGUUGCGGCCUUCCCUUUAAAAACAUGCUGUUGCGACCCUGACUUAAAAAAUAUGCAGUUGCAGACUCCCUUUAAAAACACUCAAUUACGACCUUCCCUUAAAAAUUUGCGGUCGCGACCCUAGUUGAAACUCGUAGUUGCGUCCCCAUUAUUUUUUUUGCAGUUGUGACCCCCGUUGAAAAAGUGUAGUUGCGGCAUUCCCUUUGAAAACAUGAGUUGCAGCCCCCCUUUAAAAACAUACAAUUGCGACCUUCCCUUAAAAAAUUAGCGAUCGCGAUCCUAGUUGAAACUCGUAGUUGCGUCCCCAUUUAAAAAACUUGCAGUUGUGACCCCCAUUGAAAAAGUGUAGUUGCGGCCUUCACUUUAAAAACAUGCACUUGCGACCCUGACUUGAAAAUAUGCAAUUGCGGCCUUCCUUUAAAAACAUGCAACUGCGACCUUUCCUUAAAAAUUUGCAGUUGCGACCCUAGUUGAAACUCGUAGUUGUGUCCCCAUUUAAAUAACUUGCAGUUGUGACCCCCAUUGAAAAAGUGUAGUUGCGGCCUUCCCUUUAAAAACAUGCAGUUGCGACCCUUACUUGAAAAAUAUGCAGUUGCGGCCUCUCUUUAAUAACAUGCAAUUGCGACCAUCCCUUAAAACUUGCAGUCGCGACCCUAUUUGAAACUUGUAAUUGCAUCCACAUUUAAAAAACUUGUAGUUGUGACCACAUUGAAAAAUUAUAGUUGCGGUCUUCCCUUGAAAAGCGUGCAGUUGGACCUUCUCUUAAAAUAUUAUUGUUGCGACCCCAUUUGAAACUGGUAGGUGCAUCCCCAUUUGAAUAUCUUGCAGUAGCGACCCUCCUUAAAAAUGUCUAGUCAUAGCCUCUCUUUGAAAAGGUGCAGUUGCGACCUUCCCUUAUAAACUUGCAGUUGCGACCCCAUUUAAGAUUGGUAGUUGCGUCCCUAUUUGAAAAACUUAUGGUUGCGACCCCCUUAAAGACAUACAGUUGUGACUCCUUUUUGAAAAAUUGCAGUUGCGACUCCAUUAUAAAAACUUAUAAUUACAACCCUUGAAAAAGCAAGCAGCUUCGAUCCCGUUUUAGAAACUUUCUGUUGUGAUUUCAUUUUACCCUUGAAAAAGUGUAGUUGCGCCCCCCUUGAAAAAGUGCAAUUGCAACCUCCCUUCAAAAACAUGAAGUUGGGACCCCAUUUCAAACUUGUAGAUGUAGCUCGUUUGGAAAACCUGCAGUUNNNNNNNNNNNNNNNNNNNNNNNNNNNNNNNNNNNNNNNNNNNNNNNNNNNNNNNNNNNNNNNNNNNNNNNNNNCCGAAAACAUAAAGUUACGACUAGCAUUUAAACACAUGGACCAUUGCUAUAAACUUGCAAUUGUGGCCUAAUUAAAAAAAUUACUUUCAACCCCGUUUGAAAAAUUUGCAGUUGUGCCUCCGCUUCAAAAGGUAUAGUGGCGACAAGCAUCUGAGUUGCGACCCUUACUAAAAACUUGUAACUGCGACCCCAUUUAAAAAAAUAGUUGCGACCUGUUUAAAAAAAAUUGUAGCUAUGCCUUGCCUUGAAAACGUGUUGUUGCGACAAGCAUUUGAACACAUGCAAUUGCGACCAUCACUAAAUAUUUGGAAUUGCGAUCCCAUUUGAAUUUUUAGUUUCUGUCCCGUUUAAAAAUAUACCGUUGCCUGAGUUGCAAUCCUCAGUAAGAGAAAAUAUUUCAACUGAAAAAAAGGCUUGGCAUUUCAUUUCACUAACAUAAAAGGAAAAAACACAACAUAAUAUUAAAGAAAAACAAGGAAGAAAAAAUAUUUAAAAAGCUGAAAUUAGAAAACAAAAAAUAUAAAAAAUAAGGCAACAGUCAAUACAAAACACUGAGAAAAAAAAAAGGACAAAAGGCCAAUAUGACCCGAUAUACAUACACAAGGUAGCAUCGCUACCCCAAAGAAAAAAAACUAGACAGCGUCGCUACCUUUUUCUUUCUUCCAUCAUUGACAGGAGGACGUGAUGGGCCGCAACAGGCGAACAACAAUAUAACAAAAGAAAAAAACGGGCUGAGGGCAACUUGGCUUGGACACUACACGAAUCGCUACGUUGCUUUUGAUCCAACGAUAAUGCAUGUGAAUGAGACCAUAAGUAAAACUCAGCUAGCUGAGUUUUAGCAAACCCGUAUAUUAUAUCCACGAGCUCACUGACGUCGGGCAAACGAAAUCAAAGUCACCAGCAGGCAGCCCUGAUUGAACGGCACCGGCACUGACAUCCAAAUUCAUCCGAUCAUGAAAAUACUCCACGUGAAGCGCGCCACCACAUACUAAUUAAUAAUAUCACCAGCGCGCCAAAAAACUAAUACUAUAUCACCGGCGGUGUCAGUCCGUCGAUCUUCGAACCAACCAACCAACCAUCGAUCGCCAGUCCAAGAAACAGCGGCGACAAUGGAUCACAGGGCGAAGCGGGUGGCGAUCGUUGGCGCCGGCACGAGCGGGCUGGCGGCGUGCAAGCACCUGCUGGCGCGCGGGUUCCGGCCGGUGGUUUUCGAGGCCGGCGAGUCCGUGGGCGGGCAGUGGACGCGCACGCUCGCCUCCACCAGGCUCCAGUCGCCCGCCGCCGUGUACCGCUACUCCGACUUCCCGUGGCCCGACUCCGCCGGCGCGUUCCCGCUCCACGACCAGGUCGCCGACUACCUCGCCUCCUACGCGCGCCGCUUCGGCGUGGACGCGUGCGUCAGGUUCCGGAGCCGGGUCGUCGCCGCCGAAUACGUCGGCGCGGAGCCGGAGGGCGCGGCGGACCGGUGGCAGAGGUGGAACGGCAACGGCGAGGCCUUCGGCGACGGCACGGGCGCGUGGCGCCUCACCGUGCGCCACGGCGGCAUCGGCGAGCAGGAGGCGGAGACGCACGAGUUUGACUUCCUCAUACUCUGCAUCGGCAGGUUCAGUGGCGUGCCCAACAUCCCGGCGGCCUUCCCGGGCCCGGAGGCGUUCCGCGGGCGGGUGCUCCACUCCAUGGAGCUCUCCGACAUGGCCGACGCGGACGCCGCCGCGCUGGUCAAGGGGAAGCGCGUCGCCGUCGUGGGUGCCGGCAAGUCGGCCUUCGAGAUCGCCGCCGAGUGCGCCGAGGCCAACGGCGCGGGGACGCCGUGCACGAUGGUGUGCCGGAACCCGCAGUGGCUGCUGCACCGCGCGGACGUGUGGGGCGGGGUCAGCAUCGGGUACCUCUACAUGAACCGCUUCGCCGAGCUGAUGGUACCCCGUCCCGGCGCCGGCGCCGCCUCCCGCAUCCUCGCCGCGCUGCUGUCGCCGCUCUCGUGGUUGAUAUCGGCGGCGACGGGGGCGUACUACCGGAAGGCGAUCCCGAUGCGGGAGCACGGCAUGGAGCCCGGGCACGGGUUCGCGAGGUCCGUGUCGUCGUGCAUCCUCUCCAUGCUCCCCGACGGGUUCUACGACAAGGUGAGGGAAGGCAGCGUCGUCUUCGCGAGGUCCAGGUCCUUCGGCUUCUGCCACGACGGCCUAGUGCUCGACGGCGCCGGUGCCGGCGAUAAGCGCGUCGUGCCGGCCGACGUGGUGGUCCUCGCCACCGGGUUCCGCGGCGACGAGAAGCUGAAAGACAUGUUCGCGUCGCCGCGGGUGAAGGGCAUCAUCGCCGGUACCGGAUCGCCGGACGCGGCCGUGCCGCUGUACCGGGAGUGCGUGCACCCGCGGAUCCCGCAGAUGGCGGUGGUGGGGCACGCGGAGGGGCUGAACAACAUCUACUCGAGCGAGAUGACGGCCAAGUGGGUGGCGCGGCUGCUGGACGGCGCGUUCCGGCUGCCGGUCGUGCGGCGGAUGGAGGAGAGCUGCGCGGAGUGGGGCAGGUACUACCUGCGGAGGAGCGGC
rnacentral:lncRNA from 1 species